rnacentral:rRNA from 1 species
GAUGAACGCUGGCGGCGUGCCUAAUACAUGCAAGUCGAGCGAAUGGAUUAAGAGCUUGCUCUUAUGAAGUUAGCGGCGGACGGGUGGGUAACACGUGGGUAACCUGCCCAUAAGACUGGGAUAACUCCGGGAAACCGGGGCUAAUACCGGAUAACAUUUUGAACCGCAUGGUUCGAAAUUGAAAGGCGGCUUCGGCUGUCACUUAUGGAUGGACCCGCGUCGCAUUAGCUAGUUGGUGAGGUAACGGCUCACCAAGGCAACGAUGCGUAGCCGACCUGAGAGGGUGAUAGGCCACAAUGGGACUGAGACACGGCCCAGACUCCUACGGGAGGCAGCAGUAGGGAAUCUUCCGCAAUGGACGAAAGUCUGACGGAGCAACGCCGCGUGAGUGAUGAAGGCUUUCGGGUCGUAAAACUCUGUUGUUAGGGAAGAACAAGUGCUAGUUGAAUAAGCUGGCACCUUGACGGUACCUAACCAGAAAGCCACGGCUAACUACGUGCCAGCCGCCGCGGUAA